rnacentral:rRNA from 1 species
GUUUCAGCAGCCGCGGUAAGACGAACCGAGCGAACGUUGUUCGGAAUCACUGGGCUUAAAGGGCGCGUAGGCGGGCAUUCAAGUCUGUGGUGAAAUCCUCCAGCUCAACUGGAGAACUGCCAUGGAUACUGGGUGUCUCGAGGGUGGUAGGGGUAUGCGGAACUAUCGGUGGAGCGGUGAAAUGCGUUGAUAUCGAUAGGAACUCCGGUGGCGAAGGCGGCAUACUGGACCACUUCUGACGCUGAGGCGCGAAAGCCAGGGGAGCGAACGGGAUUAGAUACCCUGGUAGUCC